rnacentral:rRNA from 1 species
GACGAACGCUGGCGGCGUGCCUAACACAUGCAAGUCGAACGAUGAAGCUGGAGCUUGCUCUGGUGGAUUAGUGGCGAACGGGUGAGUAACACGUGAGUAACCUGCCCUGGACUCUGGGAUAAGCGUUGGAAACGACGUCUAAUACCGGAUAGGACCUCGGAUCGCAUGAUCUGGGGUGGAAAGUUUUUCGGUCUGGGAUGGACUCGCGGCCUAUCAGCUUGUUGGUGAGGUAAUGGCUCACCAAGGCGUCGACGGGUAGCCGGCCUGAGAGGGUGACCGGCCACACUGGGACUGAGACACGGCCCAGACUCCUACGGGAGGCAGCAGUGGGGAAUAUUGCACAAUGGGCGCAAGCCUGAUGCAGCAACGCCGCGUGCGGGAUGACGGCCUUCGGGUUGUAAACCGCUUUUAGUAAGGAAGAAGGGGCUUCGGCCUUGACGGUACUUGCAGAAAAAGGACCGGCUAACUACGUGCCAGCCGCCGCGGUAA